GCGAGAGUGGCGGAACUGGCAGACGCGCUGGACUCAAAAUCCAGUGAUCGCAAGAUCAUGAGGGUUCGACUCCCUCCUCUCGCA
rnacentral:tRNA from 1 species